rnacentral:rRNA from 1 species
GGCCUUUUCGGGGUACCGAGCGGCGAACGGGUGAGUAACACGUGGGUGAUCUGCCCUGCACUUCGGGAUAAGCCUGGGAAACUGGGUCUAAUACCGGAUAUGACCUCGCGUUGCAUGACGUGUGGUGGAAAGAUUUAUCGGUGCGGGAUGGGCCCGCGGCCUAUCAGCUUGUUGGUGGGGUAAUGGCCUACCAAGGCGACGACGGGUAGCCGACCUGAGAGGGUGACCGGCCACACUGGGACUGAGACACGGCCCAGACUCCUACGGGAGGCAGCAGUGGGGAAUAUUGCACAAUGGGCGAAAGCCUGAUGCAGCGACGCCGCGUGAGGGAUGACGGCCUUCGGGUUGUAAACCUCUUUCAGCACGGACGAAGCGCAAGUGACGGUACCUGCAGAAGAAGCACCGGCUAACUACGUGCCAGCAGCCGCGGUAAUACGUAGGGUGCAAGCGUUGUCCGGAAUUACUGGGCGUAAAGAGUUCGUAGGCGGUUUGUCGCGUCGUUUGUGAAAACCAGCAGCUCAACUGCUGGCUUGCAGGCGAUACGGGCAGACUUGAGUACUGCAGGGGAGACUGGAAUUCCUGGUGUAGCGGUGAAAUGCGCAGAUAUCAGGAGGAACACCGGUGGCGAAGGCGGGUCUCUGGGCAGUAACUGACGCUGAGGAACGAAAGCGUGGGUAGCGAACAGGAUUAGAUACCCUGGUAGUCCACGCCGUAAACGGUGGGCGCUAGGUGUGGGUU